CGUCCUUUUCUCCGGGAGCUGCGUGGGGACUGCAGGAGUCCAAAGCCUCGCUGUGUUUUAUGGGGAACAGUUAUUAAUAUUGGGUCAAAUAAUCCAGUAUUUCUUCACUCUGGUGCUGAAGGUCCGCUGCGCUGCUUUUUACUGUGUUUCCCCUUUACUCUGUUUUCAUUUAAAGCCCCUCAGUCUUAAAACAGCGGCACUAGCGGGCCUUCAGCACCGAUAGUGAUUAUUACCCUGCCGGAUUAGAUUAGAGCAGCGCGGCGGAGCUCUGUAAGUCCCGGUGAGUAAUUUAGUUAGCUGACUGUUUCAGCUCUCGGUGAAGCGCGGUCUUAUUAUGAUACUUAAACGGCGCUGGGUGUUUGUUUUGUUUCUGAACGAGCAGGUGACGCUGCAACUGGAUUUUAUAAAGAUAUGAGAAAAGAAUGCUUUCGUCGUGGAUUUAACAUGAAAAGGCCCAGUUCCAAAAGACACAACAUCCUCAGUGUCCUGGAGCUCCAGCUGAAGCACUGGCCACUCCACCUUCUCCAUCCCCACCCAAAAGAGGUACUUCUAAGGCAGCUAGUUGAAGGCGUGAUUGAGGUCCAUGCCAGAGGGGUUCUGCACUGUGACCUCAAGCCAUAGAACAUCCUGGUUCAGAUGUACAGUUAGGAACCACGCCUUCAUCUUCUGUUCUUCUGGACCUUCGUCAUGAGUGGUUUACCCAUGAGGCUAAAUCCUCCACAGUGUUGCAGAUAGGAAUCAUCCUGCUGUGUGUGAGAGGUGACCCUUCAACACCAGCACGGAGAUCACCCCAAAGAAGUCUCAGAUCAUCUCUCCACCAUCUGCUCUAUGACCCCUGGCUAAGUAUACACCACGACACAGCCACCACAUUAGGCACACCUCAGUCAGGUACCAUAUAAAACAAUAAUAAUAAUAAUUUUAAAAAAUCUAUAUUUUCAAUCUCUAGUUUAGAGAGUUCUCUAGUAGAGCUGGGCGAUUAAUCAAUUUUAUCGAUAAAUUCGAAUUUAUAGUUAAGGACAAUGUGUUUUUAUGAAAAUCGAUUUUCUCUGAGUUUUCUUUUUCACCACAGACGCUCCUCUGUGGGCACAGAGUGAGCUUAGCUAGCUCCCUCCAUACCUCCCUCCCUCCAGCGCGCGCACCCCCGCCCCUCCCUUACUCCCUCCCUCCCUCCCUUGCACGCACAAACACAAACACACACAUACACAAAACACAUGACGGCGGAGCUUAAGAGCAACUAGCUCCGUGAUCUGGAGUUGGUUCGGUUUUGCGGCGUCGGACGUAGACCAAACAGGUCCUCGCUGUAAGGUGAACCAAUUUAUCACUAUACCUUAAACAGAGCCAUGUAGCGGAGUGGGAGAAGUGCUGCUACCAUAGGAAGGAACGCAGCAGCACCAGUUCACCAUUCAACGUUAAACAAGGAACUGUCCCUGGCACAUCUUCCAACCGUGUACCAGGUUUUGUAUGCACUAAGUUAAGAUGUUUUGCAUAUUCAUGAGAAAAGAUCUCAUUUUAUAGAACACUGGCACUUAUUUAAAUGCUUUGUUUUGCAAUUCUAGCCCAAUAGGGAAAAGUAUUUACUUAAGAGCAUAUAAAUUGUACUUGUUUUCUAUUGUCUACUUUGUAAGUUUUAUCAAAAAAGGGCACCAUUUUAUUUAUUUCUAUUUGUUUUUAAGGGUGUGUUUAUUUAUUUAUUUUUUAAGUUUGAGGGUGCAUUGUGUCAGUACCUAAACUAUGUUGGAGAAAGCUUUCUAAAAGUCUCUAGAUGUUCUCACUGUUUACAAUAGUUUUUUUUUGCUUGUUUCUGGUUGCACUUUAACCACAAAUGGAACAUUUUAAGUGAAAACAAAUUAAAUAAGAACUAGUUUUUAACCAUUUCUUUAUCAUCUUUAGUUUGAUUUUUAGUAGGGGGAAAAAUCGAUUUAAAUCAAAAAUUGGAUUUAAAAAAAAAAAUCUAAGAUUUUUUUUUUUUCGGCCAUAUCGCCCAGCUCUAUACUCUAGUUUAGAGGGUUUUUUAUAAAACACACCUAAGGAAAAUAGCAGGUAUUAAUAAAGCUAUUGAUUCCAUACUUUUAAAAAGGUAAUGAUUUUCUUUAACUAUAUAAAUGUUUUAAUUGUUUUGUGUAUUGUAUGCUUUUAAUUGCUUCCUGUUUUGUAUUUGUGUUCAUGUACUUAAGGCUUUAAUCCUUUUAUCUUGAUAUUGUUUAUCUUUUGAUGUUUAUUAAUUAAUGUUUAUUAACUGUAUUUAUCUUUAUGUAGUAUACUGUUAGUGUUUUAAUCCAUACACUUUUUGUAUAUAUUUCUUUUAUUGUUUAGUUACUUGCUAUAUUAAUGGUUAUUGUAUUGGUGUUUUAGUCUUAUUUUGGGCUUAUAUUCAUUAAAAACAUUUUAACGUUUGUCUUUUAGUGCUUUAAUCAAUUAAUAUUGUACUUACCUUUUAAUAUUUUACUAUUAAUCUUUCUGUACUUAACUAUACAUUAUUUUUUAUUUAUUUUUUUAUAAAAAUUAAAGGCGGGUUUAUUAAUUGUAUGUCUUUAUACGGGAUUUUACAUUUGCAUUGUAUAUAUUUUUGUUUCAUUUAAUGUUUAUGCUCUUUGUCUUUUUCAGAUUUUUACAUUUUUAAUUUGUGUAUUGACCCAAGGAGUAUGGGUUCCUCUCAAGGUUUCUAUCUCUCUUUCUGAGAGAAUUUUCUUUGCCGCUGUCUCCUUUGUGCUUACUCAAAAGAGGUUUGGACACUUUUUUUUUUUUUUUUUCACUGUUCUUAAUUUUGUUUGUUUCUUAACUUUGUCAAUAAAUGUUUUUUUAUUGCUA